rnacentral:misc_RNA from 1 species
AUGCCGAUGGAACCCCCC